GUGAAUCAUCGAAUUUUUGAACGCAAAUUGCACUCUCUUCGGAGAGGAUGCCUGUUUGAGGGUCAGCCUAAAAAAAAAUCGACAUAGUCGCUGGUUCGCGGUGACAUUCGUCGGGAAUUGGGGCAUCUUAAACCUUUUUGGUUUAAGCGGCUUAAAAUUGUCUUUACUAUUGCACGAUCGUUUCUAAGUUUUACUUCCUACACGGUU
rnacentral:misc_RNA from 1 species